UUAAUGAACUGCGGAAUGUGUUUCACUGGGCUCUCUGCGCCUGAGAUCGCGCAAAACAGAAAGCGCCACGCACGCGCAUCUCCUCACCACCUGGUACCAGACCGUGGGUCGAGGCGCUAAGCACAGAAAAACAAAGGAGCACCUGCUGCCAGAUGGCUUCCCUUGCUUUGAGCCAAGAGGCCUGCACCAGACUUCUCUUCUAGGACUAAAGCCUCAGUUUUUGUAUCCCCCUUCGGUUCCUCUUCCACAGAUCUUGCCCUGCCUCGUUGCCCAGCUCAGACAAACACCCUGCCUCAUCUUCCCCAUCUCCUCCCCACUGGGAGUUGGGGGCCCUCAAUCUUGGACUUCUCCAGACUUCACCAGACCGCAGAAUGGCCUUAAAUCCUUUCCAGUUUGCUUGUCCUCAGCCACCAGAUAGUCAGUCAGCAGUACUCAUUAAGCUUGUUCUGCGGGCAAAGCAGUGUACUGAGGCCUUAUCAAGAAAAACUGCAGGAACAGAAGUGGUAGACGUGCCCUUUCAGGAUGUGAAUUAGUGUCUGUGGGUCCCCUGGUGAGUAACCCGAACCUCUCAGAGACUGAGGAAGCUGCCUCAAGUAACAGCUGGGAAGUGAAGAAGGCAAUACUUCCGUGGUUCCUGAAGAUUUCCAUCUCAUGGUCUGAAAGACAAAGCAGAAAGCAGAAUAUCACCUAAGUUCCCAUCCAGGCCAAACUCUGGUUCAUGGGUUCCCUGAGAGCAGCUGUGCCACAGUCUAACUAUUAAGUAAACACAUGAAACCACCUAACGUUAGGACCAUCACAGAGAUCAGUAGUGAUUCAACGUCUCCAAAUGACUUGGUGAUCCUGAGAUAAAAAGAGGCUUAGGAAGUAGAAAUGCACCCUUGUCUUCAGCCAAAAAACGAUACUCUGUGAGUCAGAGCCAGCACACCAGGACAGAGGCAGAAA
rnacentral:lncRNA from 1 species